rnacentral:rRNA from 1 species
GACGAACGCUGGCGGCGUGCUUAACACAUGCAAGUCGAACGGAAAGGCCCUGCUUUUGUGGGGUGCUCGAGUGGCGAACGGGUGAGUAACACGUGAGUAACCUGCCCUUGACUUUGGGAUAACUUCAGGAAACUGGGCUAAUACCGGAUAGGAGCUCCUGCUGCAUGGUGGGGGUUGGAAAGUUCGGCGGUUGGGGAUGGACUCGCGGCUUAUCAGCUUGUUGGUGGGGUAGUGGCUUACCAAGGCUUUGACGGGUAGCCGGCCUGAGAGGGUGACCGGCCACAUUGGGACUGAGAUACGGCCCAGACUCCUACGGGAGGCAGCAGUGGGGAAUAUUGCACAAUGGGCGGAAGCCUGAUGCAGCAACGCCGCGUGCGGGAUGACGGCCUUCGGGUUGUAAACCGCUUUCGCCUGUGACGAAGCGUGAGUGACGGUAAUGGGUAAAGAAGCACCGGCUAACUACGUG